UGGUGGAGUGAUUUGUCUGGUUAAUUCCGUUAACGAACGAGACCCCGCCUGCUAAAUAGUCAUAUCAAUGCUUGGCAUUGAUGUUGGCUUCUUAGAGGGACUUUCGGUGACUAACCGAAGGAAGUUGGGGCAAUAACA
rnacentral:rRNA from 1 species